GUUAUUAAAGCGACCGAGAGCCGACUAGCGACAUCAGUAAGCAUCUUCAUCAACCAGUGAAAAGUCAGUCACUCGAGAAGAAAUUACUACAUUUCAGCUUGAACCAUGAAGCUUCUCCAUAAACUUUUUAAGCUGCUGUUCUGCUGGGCGCUGACUGGCACCAGUUUUGUUGGAGCUAGUUUUGAAGGACACUUAAUAAUCUACGGGGGUCGCAACGCGGCUAGGCCUACCACAGGAGCCCUUAUUACCUGUAACGGCGGCAACAAUCCACCUCCUCCAAUAGUUUUCGGUGCUAGGCCUAAGCCUAAACCAAGGCCUAGCCCAUGGAUCCUGGCCUAGGCCUAGACCUACACCGAAUUGCCCACCAUGGUACGUCGUCUGCCGAGGAUAAGUUGAGACUCUGGCGCCUGGUUUUGACGGAGAAUCACUGCAACGAAAUGUCAAUUGAAUAUCUUCAUGAAUAACAUCGAAUUACUCUGUUAUUCAUCUUUAGAAUAAUAAUGUCUUUCGAUGAAUACUGAGACUCCCUGACGCCUGGUUUGACUGAGAAUCACUACAAUCAAAUUGAAGUAAGAUACCCUCAUGAAUAACGACGAUACUGUUAUUCAUCUUUUGAUGAAUUACAGCCAUUCAGGGUAAUAUUCUCUGACGAAUAAUGUACGAUUCAAAAACUCCUGUGAUAUUUUCCCAUUCAAUAUUGAGAAGUAGUAUGUAAUUAGUUAAAUAAUAUCUAUUUCAACCGA